rnacentral:tRNA from 1 species
GCGGGCGUGGCGAAACUGGUAGACGCAACGGACUUAAAAUCCGUUGGGGGCAACUCCGUGCCGGUUCGAUUCCGGCCGUCCGCA